rnacentral:lncRNA from 1 species
CUCUCCCUCCAGGCUCUGACUGAAGGCUUAAUUCAGCUACCUUAUCUCUCUAGGUAUGUGGAGACCAAAGCCAAGGGGCUGUUUUCCUGCGGGAAUUUACACUGAUUCGAAGAGAGAGCCUUAAUGAAGAUUUCCUGUCUGACCUCUUGAAUAGUCACAAAACCGAAGAUCCGAUGAUCCCAUAUGGUCCUGUGAAAGAGAAGAAUUAACAGAGAGCAAAAGAACCUGGUCUGAAGUUUUACUCAGACCACAGUUUGAACAGCAGAAGAGUUUACCAUUCCACAUUUUCAAUCUUUAAAUCAAAUCCUUUGUGCAAAAUUUCAUUUCCUUCUUUCCCUCAAAAUCAUUUAGUUCCCACCUGAAAAAUCCAAAUAUCAUCUUUUUGUUUUGUUUUGUUUUUAUCAAAAUCUUCAAGUCUUUCAGGCAAAUUAA